rnacentral:misc_RNA from 1 species
GCAAAUUUUCGUUUCAUGUCUGUCCAUUAUUUCCACAACGGGAAGUUUGUUAUCCGUAAAACAAAUUAAGUUUUUUUUUUAGAAGAGUAUUGGAGGAAUCUAUCAUAUAAAUCAUACUGUCGAUAAAAAACUGAUGAUAACAAAAACCAGUAUGGCUAUACCACCACCACCAGGUCCACCGCCGCCACCAGGGCCACCACCGCCUCCGGCUAUGGGAGGUCUCAAAUUAGGUGGUGCUGGUGGCGGAGAUAUGCGUUCAGCGCUCCUACAAUCCAUACAAAAAGGCACUAAACUGAAAAAGACUACAACAGUUGAUAAAAGCGGACCAGCCCUAGCAGGAAAGAUUUGUGAUUCAACGCCAUCCGCAACGAGUUCACCGAAACGAAUACACAACAAUAAUAAUAACAACAACAAUAUCAGUAAUAGCAAUAACAAUAAUGUGGGCAAUGGCGCACCAAAAUUGGGUGGCCUAUUCGAAGGGCUGACCUCAAUGCCCAAACUGAAGCCAGUCAAUGGCAGUAAUCGUGCCCAAGCUCCGGCAAUCCCAACGGCUACCAAUAACGAUUCGUCCGCAGCGAGUAGACGCAACGACACAUCGCCACCAGCGAACGCCAACAGCGGAAAUAACUGCAGCAGUAAUGGUCCAUUAGAUUUCAAUGCUGAACUAACAAAGCAUUUGACACUGAAGCGGCAGAAGCAACAGCAGCUACAACAGCCGGUCAAUGCGACUGAGGCGAAUUUACGUACAAAUCGUGGACCACCACCGCAGCCGCCAUCGACGCCACCGAAGAAUCUCUCAACGCAGAGCGCCUCCGACUCGGUGUUGGAGAAAACGAGAGGUAUCAACGCGUCGUCAGCUGGUAUACGCGCUAGUCCGUUGGCGGCAAAUCACAGCAAUAGUAAGGCAUCAUCGCCUACGCUUUCGGAGAGCAGCAAUGGCAGCAACAAAACCGCUGGUGGUGGCACCAACAAUAGCAUCAAAAGUAAAGCGGCUAGUUUGAAUUUAACAUUAGGCAAAACAAAUUCAAAUGUUGUAAAUAAUAAAAGUAGUAAUACAAACUCUUCUUCAACCACAACGACCUCGUACAAUUAUAAUUCAAUCAACAACACAACUACCACAACAACAACAAACCAUUUAAACUACAAAAGCAGCCUGAACAGUACACUGUCGAAAGCAACACAAUUCCAACAGCAAAAGCAAACAUCACCUGCGCCUAGCCGAGGCAAUAUCCUACCGAACAAAUCAUCAUUAUUCGGCACGAAUGGCAUAAAUAGCGCUGUUGGCCCUUCUGCAACAGGUAGUAACAAUUCGCUUGCCACCCCUACCGCAGCAUCAACGACUACGCCGACUAAUAAGUCGCCGACGCCAAGUUUGAAGCCGGUGCCGAAUCAUGGAAAACCGAAUUUUGCGCCCAAACCGCCAGGAUUACAGCAAUUGGCGUUGGCGAGCAGUCAACGUACGACCGUGUCGCGCCAUCAUAGCAUGAAGUCGCCAAGAUCACCGCCAAUUGCAGCGCCAGGUGCGCCCAUAUUCCCCUCCCAACAACACUUCGGCACAAUGCGCGCACCACUCGCACAACUGUAUCAGUCGCAAGAAGCAAUCAACAGCAGCGGCAUGCGUCCAGCGCCAAACCCAUCAAUUGGUCGCCCUACAGUAGCACCACCGAAACCGCCAUCAGUCAAACCACCGCCUCCGCCAACACCGGCGCGCAGCGUCUCCAAUUCCAAUCUGAAUAGUAUUGUGGGAGGCCAAAGUGCCAAUGGCAAUGUGACCAUACCAUAUAGCGCUGUAAACACUACACUUAUCUCUUCCGUAAACAGUAAUAAUUACUCAUCGCCCACCACAACGCAACCACCUUCCAAUUCUUCUUCCACCAGUAGUGUGUCGGCGUUGCGGGAUCAAUUUCGUAGCACAACAAAUGCAACACCACCACCACCACUGCCGCCAACAGCAAGUGUUGUUGCUGCCAAUAUGAAGUCGUCCAGUAGUAGCAGCACUCAGGGCAGUCCAGGUAGCCCCGGCAGCAGGCAAGGGCCGAGUCGAGAAAAGCCCAUAAAAGCAAUCAUAUUGAAUGGUGGUCCAUUGAAUGCGCCACCACUGCCACCACAUCGAACAGUUCAAGCGCCCCCACCGCCGCUACGUCAAACGAGUAAUACUGGCAAUAACGUGGCACCCGUGCCGCCACAACGACACUCUUCCAUACGCGCCAAUGCACCUGUAACGCCGCCAACAGCCAACAACAACAAUAUGCCCAUGUUCGGAAACAAUGUUGGUAAUCUAACGCACGCCAAUUCAGUCAGCCGUUUAAUCACCGAUUUGGAAUCCCGUUUCGUCUUCCACAAUGUCACCGAAUUCCCAAAACCGCCACCGUUUCUAAAUAUUCCAAAAGUCUAUACGGCCAAAGCGAAUGCGCCACUUCCAGCUACUAACAUAAACAACAACAACAACAAUUUUGAUGGGGAAAGCACUAACACUGUAACACCAACAACAGCAGGAGCUUCCACAGAUACAACACCACUAGCUGUAGCAAGCGGUGUGGCACGCAAACAGGCAGCACAACCAUUAUUUCCCUUGGGUGUGAAGAAGCAUCGCGCACCCGCACCACCACCGCAAGCCGGAGUGGCUGCGGCAACGGUAUCUGUGAUAAGACAAUCGAGUUUCCUUUAUGGCGGCGCCGGUGUGGGUGGUGUUGUAGCACAACAACAACAACAAGCACAGCAGUGGUAAACAUACCGCUGUAAUGUGUAUUGGAGAGGAAAGAAGUGGAGUGCAGUGGAGUGAGUUGGAGUGACGUAUGUGAAUCAUAGUGAAAACAUAUUUUAGCAAGCACUUAAUCCUGCAUACAAGUUUAGAAAAUUCUAAUAUUCUAUGUACUUGUGAAUUUUUAGCGACAGGCUGAAGCUAAUAGCGUCUAGUCGUUUUUGACUUUUAUUAACAUCAAAUUUGGUUAUUACCGCCUCAUAUAACAUAUAUAAUAUAAUAUUUAUACUAACUAAAUUAACUAUCAUAUUCCAAUAC